rnacentral:misc_RNA from 1 species
UAUUCAUUCACUUUCAGAUUGUAAAUCAGUAUCACUUCUUGAUGCAGACUGAGAAGGCACUUUUGAAGCAAUUGAAAAGUUUCCUACACCUCUGCCUCCCAGUUUACUAAUUUUCUGAAUACAUUGAUUUUGACUUUUGGCGUGGAUAACAUUGACAAGCAAUUAUUGGAUUCACAUAUUGAUCCAUAGGCUAGUUACGGGAUUCUCGCUGCCCGCAUUUUUUAUCUUAGCUAAUCAGUUUCAACCAUGGAAGGCCAAAAGCUCCAAAUGCAUGAGAGAUCCACCAACACACAGCAGCUUUUGUGGUUCUUUGGCAUAGCAGCAUGCAUAAAGCUCCUACUGAUCCCAUCAUACCACAGCACAGACUUUGAGGUCCAUCGACAUUGGCUCGCUUUAACCCACUCACUCCCUCUCCGUCAGUGGUACUUUGAAGAGUCUAGCCCAUGGACUCUUGAUUACCCUCCAUUCUUUGCCUAUUAUGAAUGCAUUCUCUCCUUCUUUGCCCAUUUGAUUGACCCCCAAAUAGUUGACAUCCACAGAGGCCUCAAUUAUAAAUCAAACACAGUAGUCUAUUUCCAAAGGAUCAGCGUGAUUGUCUCAGAUUUGUGUCUUUUAUAUGGUGUUUAUAGAUUGACUAAGAAUUUGGAGUUCAGAAAGAGAACUUUAAUGUGUUUAUUGGUGGUUUGGUCCCCAGGCCUUAUAGUGGUGGACUCUAUGCAUUUCCAGUACAAUGGGUUUUUGCUAGGGCUAUUGAUGUUGUCCAUCUCCUACUUGCAAGAAGGGAGGGAUUUGAUGGGUGGCUUCUUUUUUGCGAUUUUAUUAUGUUUUAAGCACUUGUUUGCUGUGGCUGCACCAGUUUAUUUUGUGUACUUGUUGAGGCAUUAUUGUUGGAAAGGUUUGUUAAGAGGUUUUUGGCAGCUUAUAUCUAUGGGGAUUGUCGUCAU